rnacentral:rRNA from 1 species
GACAGAGGGUGCAAACGUUGUUCGGAUUUACUGGGCGUAAAGCGCGUGUAGGCGGCUCGGCAAGUCGGAUGUGAAAGCCCACGGCUCAACCGUGGAAGCGCAUCCGAAACGGCCUCGCUCGAGUCUCGGAGAGGAAGGUGGAAUGCUUGGUGUAGAGGUGAAAUUCGUAGAUAUCAAGCAGAACACCUGCGGCGAAGGCGGCCUUCUGGACGAUGACUGACGCUGAGACGCGAAAGCGUGGGGAGCAAACAGG